GAGGGCUUGUCUACAUCAGAAAGUUGCAGCGCUGGUGAGGGAGUUACAGCGCUGCAACUUUGAAGGUGUACACAUCUGCAGGGCACCACCAGCGCUGCAACUCCCUGUUUGCAGCGCUGGCCGUACUCCCGUUUUGUCUCGGGUGUAGAGGAUCCAGCGCUGGUGAUCCAGCGCUGGUAAUCCAAUGUAGACACUUACCAGCGCUUUUCUUGACCUCCGUGGAAGGAGGAAGCCUCUGGUAAUCAAGCUGGUCUCCUUUCCCGGUUUGCUCUCUCGUUCCCGGAGCCCAGAGCAAGCAGGUCUCCUUCCCUGCGGUUUGCUGGGUGGCUCCGGGAACGCGAGAGCAAACCGCGGCGAAGCGGGUCUCCUUCCCCGGUUUGCUCUCUCGUUCCCGGAGCCCCGAGCAAGCAGGUCUCCUUCCCUGCGGUUUGCUGGGUGGCUCCGGGAACGCGAGAGCAAACCGCGGCGAAGCGGGUCUCCUUCCCCGGUUUGCUCUCGCGUUCCCGGAGCCCCGAGCAAGCAGGUCUCCUUCCCUGCGGUUUGCUGGGUGGCUCCGGGAACGCGAGAGCAAACCGCGGCGAAGCGGGUCUCCUUCCCCGGUUUGCUCUCGCGUUCCCGGAGCCCCCCUUGAAGCCGCCCAACAGCGCUGCAGUGUGGCCACAUCUAACACCACUUGCAGCGCUGGUUGCUGUAAGUGUGGCCACUCUGCAGCGCUGGCCCUAUACAGCUGUACUAAUACAGCUGUAACAACCAGCGCUGCAAAACUUUAGAUGUAGACAUGGCCUGA